GGAAGUUCCCAGGCUAGGGGUCAUAUUGGAGCUGCAGGUGCCGGCUUAUGCCACAGCCAUAGCAAUGACAGAUCCAAGCCACAUCUGCAGCCUAUACCACAGCUUGCAACAAUGCCGGAUCCUUAACCCACUGAGCAAGGCCAGGGAUUGAACCCACAUCCUCACGGAUACUAGUCGGGCUCUUGAUCCACUGAACCACAAGGGGAACUCCUCUCCAGAAUUCUUAGGUUGAAGUCCUAACCUCCUUCGGACCCCCAAGCGACUCAAAAUGUGACUAUAUUUGGAAAUACAAUCUUUAACGAGAUAAUUGAAAUGGGGUCAUGAGGGUGGGCCCUAAUUCAAUAUGACUGUGUAAGAGGUGGAAUUUUUAAGAGGAGGAAGUCAGGACAUAGACAUGUAGAGAAGGAGAACCACGUGAAGCCACAGGGAGAAAAAGGCCACCUAUGUGCCAAGGGAAGAGGCCUCAGAAGAACCAACCCUACGGUGCCUUGAUCUCAAACUUCCAACCUCCAGAAGUGUGAGAAAAUGAGUUUCUGUUGUUUGGCAAUCUGAAGCAUUUAGUUAAGAUGGCCCUAGUAAGCUAGUACAUGUAAAACAGAACGAAAUCUAGGCCUGGUGAAUAGGGGUCUGACUUGCUUUGCCAUGAAGAAGAGAUCUAGUGUCUCAUUCAGCCCCAGAUGUGAGUCAGUUCCCUGACCCAAACCUCCUUGAACAGAGAGCCAGACAUCCCCUGAGUAAGGUCUCCUCAAAGAUACUGCAAGUAUCUCCUCUACAUUUCCUGCUUGGGAUCUGCAACUGUUUACUAGGUACCUGCACAGGGAGAGGGAACUUCCCAGAACUUCUGAGGAUGACUGGACACUGGUUCUGAAACGGUGCUAAUUCUUGGGGUUUCUGGUUGCCACUGUGACCCACCAGAGGGGAAUAAAUGGAAACCUGGCUUCAGAAGUUCCCACUGUGUCUCGGCGGUAAUGAACCUGUCUACAAUCCAUCCCUGGCCUUGCUCAGUGGGUUAAGAAUCCAGCGUUGCCACGUGCUGUGGUGUAGGUUGCAGAUGUGGCUUGGAUAUGGUGUUGCUGUGGCUGUGGCGUAGGCCUGUAGCUGCAGCUCCAAUUUGACCCCAAGCCUGAGAAUUUCCAUAUGCCAUGGGUGCGGCCCUAAAAAGCAAGCAAGCAAACCAACCAACCAACAAAAGAAACCUGGCUUCGAUUCAUCUCACAAGGGGACCAACAGCUCUGUAAAAGUCUAAAGUUGUUGUCUCAGCUGCUGAGUACAUGACUGGAAUAGAUGUAUGCUGUGACUGACAGAAUCCACACUUGGACUCCACGGCACAUGGGGUUAGUGCUGUGAUGGCUGUGGAGGGCUAGAAGGCAGUCUCUGGGGUUUCCCUUUCCUACCAAAGCCACAAACCAAGGGAGUUCCCGUCAUGGCUCAGUGGUUGAUGAAUCCAACUAGGAACCAUCAGGUUGCGGGUUCGAUCCCUGGCCUUACUCAGUGGGUUAAGGAUCCGGCGUUGCCGUGAGCUGUAGUGUAGGUCACAGACGCGGCUCAGAUCCUGUGUUUCUGUGGUUCUGGCAUGGGCUGGCAGCUACAGCUCCAAUUAGACCCCUAGCCUGGGAACCUCCAUAUGCCGUGGGAGCAGCCCAAGAAAUGGCAAAAAGACAAAAAAAAAAAAAGACAAAAAAAAAAAAAACCCACAAACCAAAAGCAAUGAAGUUAGAAUGGCAGCAUCUUCCUAAACUGUCUUCCUUGCUGCAUCACAUAUAUGGUUAUACAUUAUUAUUAUUAUUUUUUUGCAAGUAAGCAAAGUCUGGGCAAACAGCUCCCAGGACAGCUGGGAGGGGGAAGAAGAGUCCCCCCCCUCUAUUGUCUUAUAGGGGUUUUUAUCCCUUAAAGAUGGGGCUUACCAAUGUGGGGUCCAGAAAGAUGUGGUUUUCUCCCAUUGGCCUUGCCCAGUAACCUGCAUCAGUGGUUUUACAUUAAUUAAGUUUUUUGGCUUUUUAUUCAAGGUAUGUUGGCAAUAGCUAGCUUCAUCAAUGAAUCAAUAAGUUAACCAACAUUGGCUGCAAAUGAACUAAAGGGAGGAAUAAACAUUACUCAGAAACCUUGGGUUUGGACUUUGGGUUCUUAGCGGAGAUGCUGGGACAUUUCCUCUGUAGCCAGGGGGGGAGUGGGGUGGGGUGGGGGGGUGGGGGGGGAAGAAUCUGUGUUGUCAGGCAAAAAGCUUGUCGUUAUUGGUUGAAAGUUUAUAGAAGAAGGAAGCCAAGAGGAAAACUUGAGCGGCUAUAACCUGUAUCCACCCACUCAAAUCUUGUGACACCCCCGCCUCCUUGUGUUUUGUUAACUUCCCCUAUUUUGUAAGUUCCCACUUCCUCAAGGUAAAUGCCAAACAUUUUGCACUCUCUGGAUCACCUACAACUAGGAUACCGCCAUGAGAUCUGGUUUGCCUUGCAGCAGCCUCAGAGGAAACAGCAUGGCCCUGUGGCCACGGGCCAGGCCAUCCAUCUCCUGCAGGCUCUGUCCUGAGAAUCAGAGAAAGUGGCUGAAAGGGCUCAGGUACCAAGGCUCGCCCCAUUCUGUAGCUGAGGCUGUGCUGUCUCUGUAGCUUCAGCAUUGGGCUGUCCGGCCUUCUCCUAGGUAGAUUCUAAGAGCUAUGUAAUAUCUUUAAUCAACUUUGCUGCUGAAGAGGCAGACUGAUUCUGGCUAGUCUCAAGCAGAAAUGAAAUUAAAUAAAGGAUAUUAGGCAACGGAUGUUCCUGACCACAAAAGGUUUUAAGCUGGAGACGAUCACACUUUUGUUUGCAAAAGGGCC
rnacentral:lncRNA from 1 species